GAAUCCAAAACUUGAGGGAUAUCCUCACAAAUCUUAGACAGAGCAUCCAUAGCACCUUCCAUGUGAUUAAGAUCAUUACUGUCCAAGCAAGUUACAAGAGCCUGCAACAGCUCAGGCCACCCUGAAAUUCCCCCUAUUUGAACAACAACACUUAUAAUGGUCCCAACCGUUGAUCUUAUAUGCCUAUCUGCUGCUCCUAAACAAGGCAACAACUCUGACUUAAUAUACUGUUGGCAUGCCGUAGUCAAUGAUUUAUAUGCAGUUCUGAGGUUGUUUUUCAGCAGCAGACCAGCAGCUUGUCGAAUUUCCACAGAUUUACCCUCAGUGCGAG
rnacentral:misc_RNA from 1 species